rnacentral:rRNA from 1 species
AACGAACGCUGGCGGCAUGCCUAACACAUGCAAGUCGAACGAAGGCUUCGGCCUUAGUGGCGCACGGGUGCGUAACGCGUGGGAAUCUGCCCUUUGGUUCGGAAUAACAGCUGGAAACGGCUGCUAAUACCGGAUGAUGACGAAAGUCCAAAGAUUUAUCGCCAGAGGAUGAGCCCGCGUUGGAUUAGGUAGUUGGUGGGGUAAAGGCCUACCAAGCCGACGAUCCAUAGCUGGUCUGAGAGGAUGAUCAGCCACACUGGGACUGAGACACGGCCCAGACUCCUACGGGGGGCAGCAGUGGGGAAUAUUGGACAAUGGGCGCAAGCCUGAUACAGCAAUGCCGCGUGAGUGAUGAAGGCCCUAGGGUUGUAAAGCUCUUUUACCCGGGAAGAUAAUGACUGUACCGGGAGAAUAAGCCCCGGCUAACUCCGUG